rnacentral:lncRNA from 1 species
GACAAGAGUUAAUACAGCAAAAUUGAAAUACAACAACAACAACCCAGUAUAAUCCCACUUAAUGGAGUUUAGGGGAGGAUAGUAUGUACGCAGAUCUUACCCCUACCCUUGGGUAGAGAGGCUGUUUCCAAAUAGACCCCCGGUAUUCUUCCCUCCGAGUUCCCACCUUGCUGUUGGGAAGACUCGAACUCAAAACCUAUCAAUUGGAAGUGAAGGUUACUUACAAUCAGAGCAACCCCUCUUGUCUAAAAUUGAAAUACCUUAUCUGCAAUAGCAUCUUGGAUUGAAUGAGCAUCAGCUGAAAUUGUGGACACAACUUCAAAACUAGUGAAGGAAGCAUUUUGGCUGUCAAAGA